rnacentral:lncRNA from 1 species
GAAGGGAAAAGAACAGUUAUAUCAUGAUAGCUUUCAAGAGAGGCAGCAAAAAAUCAUGCUUUUGUAAAAGGACCAAAAAUAGCACAAUUAACAGAUCGUCACAUGGAGUUGAAUCUAUCAAAAAUACAUAAAAACUCCAAUCGAAUUAAAGGAUAAUUGGAGGUCAUAUAUGGAAAACAAAGGAAGGAUCAAUUCACACGAGGCACUUCAGUUUACCUGAAAGUUAGCCACAAAGGUAAGCUAGUACGAGGUUGGAGGACCACAUUCUUGAGAUUUGAAGGUAAAAAAUGAAAAUGAGUAGCUACGGGAAAUGAGACAGAUGAAUCUACAUUUUACAAACGUGAGAAGGGAGAUACUCACCUUGUAGACGAAUCAAGAUACAUAGGAGGUAGGACUAAUAAGUUCAGAAAACUUGAUGCUGCCAUGGAUGAUACAGAGAAGUUGAAGAGUUACUUUUUUAAAUCCAAAGAGAAGAUAUAGAGGAUAGA